rnacentral:rRNA from 1 species
GACGAACGCUGGCGGCGUGCUUAACACAUGCAAGUCGAACGGAAAGGCCCUGCUUUUGUGGGGUGCUCGAGUGGCGAACGGGUGAGUAACACGUGAGUAACCUGCCCUUGACUUUGGGAUAACUUCAGGAAACUGGGGCUACUACCGUAUAGGAGCUCCUGCUCCAUGGUGGGGGUUGGAAAGUUUCGGCGGUCGGGGAUGGACUCGCGGCUUAUCAGCUUGUUGGUGGGGUAGUGGCUUACCAAGGCUUUGACGGGUAGCCGGCCUGAGAGGGUGACCGGCCACAUUGGGACUGAGAUACGGCCCAGACUCCUACGGGAGGCAGCAGUGGGGAAUAUGGCACAAUGGGCGGAAGCCUGAGGCAGCAACGCCGCGUGCGGGAUGACGGCCUUCGGGUUGUAAACCGCUGUCGCCUGUGACGAAGCGGGAGUGACGGUAAUGGGUAAAGAAGCACCGGCUAACUACGUG